AGGUGGCAAAAGUGGAAUACGUUAGAAAAAAGCCGAAAUUAAAAGAAGUUCUGGUGAGAUUAGAAGAGCAUAUGGAAUGCACCUGUACAUCAUCAAAUACUAAUUCAGAUUAUAGAGAAGAAGAAACUGGAAGGCCUAGGGAAUCAGGUAAAAAACGGAAACGAAAAAAGUUAAAACCAACAUAAAACCUACUGGAACUAUUUGAUAUUCAGAUGUAAGGUGAAAAUAAGCUAGAAAAAAAACUUCUCUCUGGGACAUGGAUGUACAUGGUUUGUUACAUUCCUGAACCUACUAUGUAUGGUGCUUAUUGACUGUAUACUUUAUUUGUUCUCCUAUGUG